AUCAGGCUAGUUUCUACACUCACUCGCACACCUCUCUCUAUCCUCUGUCCAGGCAAGCAAGAAGCACUAUCAGAGUUCAGGGACACAAGGGCAAAAAUAUUUGGGGUACAAAGCAAGGACAGUGAGCUAUAGAAAUACAGAAUAACAUACACCAUAAAUACAACAGAGGAGCAUUAAAAGUGGCUAGAUGAAAUCAAUGUUCUGGAAAUGCUUGCUGAAAUAAAAAUGUUUUUGCAGCAUGCGAAAAACCAUGCAGUGUCAGCAUCUGCCUCACCUUCACUGGUGACUUUGCUCGGUGACUUCGUUGAACGAUACCUUCGAAAUAUAAAGAGAUUUGAUUUCUGGGACAUGAGCCACUACCCAAAAUCUCAGGGCUCUGCUCAGCCUAAAAGGGGGUAAGGUGCUCUUUAAGGUCCUCUGACUCAAGUCAUUUAUGGCUUUGUACACCAGUUGUGAAACUUUGAACCUGGACAGGUACUAUAUAGGCAGCCAGUACAGUUCCUGCAGCACAGGUAUUACAUGCUGUUGGAAAGUUACUCCCACAGGUAUUAAAUGCUGUUGGAAAGUUACUUGCCAUGCUGAGAAUUCUGGACCAGGCCUAAGGGAAGCCCCACAUAAAGCACAUUGCAGUAAUCAAGUCUUGAAACUACCAACACAUGGACUACUGUGCAUAAGUGAUCACAGUCCAGGAUACCUUAUGUUUUAAGUGCCAAAGAAAAGGUCUUCUUCUCCUGCUUCCCCCAAAGCAAGCUGGCUUUGACUGGCAAUAUACCUGACAUUUUUUAAUCUGUGUCGUUCUUGCUCAGAUUCAGUGCUCAUGGCUUUUUUGUUUUUUCUUCCUUUGCUGUAAAACUCUUGCAGAAGUCUUUAAUAAUCAGGGAGCUGGAUGAAGGCGCCUGCAUUUAGAAUUGAUAUUUUGCUUUGGGGGGGGUAUGUUUUUUAAAACAACAACAAAACAUUAUUUGUUGUGAAAUUUGAACUUCCAGAUGGGAAUAAGGCACCCUACUAUAUACCAGAAGCGCCAAUGUGAACAUGGUAAUGUCUCUCUUGCUUGAUCAUGUUUUCCUUCGUUGCUGUUCGUUGCAGUGUGCUAGGAUUAAAGAGGAAAUGAAGCGUGAAUUCAGAGAGAGAGAAGUAAAUGCUUAUCAGAAUCAAAUCAGCGAGCUGGAGCUACAGGUGAAGAGAUACAAAGAAGACAUAAAUAAGUUCCGCACGGAGCACGGAAUGUUAACCAACAAACUUGCUGAAAAAACAAAGUUUGGUCUGACUUGUAGGUCUUGCAUUCCUUAUGAGAAGCAAAACAGAUGCAGUAAGCCUGAAGUCUGCCCUCCCUCUGGCCCCCACCCUAUU